ensembl:lncRNA
CAAAUUGUCGCCAUUAUUGUUCUCUUUCCAACACCGUAUCUUUCAAAGCUCAGGCAUUUAAACUUUUUAAACUGUGUGGAUCAAAGUGGAGGGAUCACAUUUGAGUCAUUCAGUGAUUCAAAGAAUAUGACCUUUUAAUAUUCAUUCAGAUGUUUUCUGACUCUAAAUGUUCUUUUCUCAUUUCUUAGGGUUUUCUAAUUUACAUUUAAAACAUUUUCAGUUUUUUUCCAACUCCUUCUUCUGUGUAACCUUCAGCUUUUAGCAGUUCAGCACCUUUGUUUUCAGGUUAAAUUCGGGGUUUUUUUUUGUUUUUUUUUAAUCUCAUUCAAUAUUUUUAACUCAAAAUUCAGCAAUUAAUUCAUUUCAGUGCAUACAUUCAGAUUCAAGCAUUCACACUGCAGUUUCUUCAGAAAAUGCACUUUCUACUAAGCAAUUGGUGGAAUCCAUUCUCACAAGCAAACCUGGUGGAGAACGUAUAAUAAAUGAGUACAAUUGGACCAAGUCCCUGGUGGAUGAAACCAGAAGAAAAAUGGUCAACAUACUGGUAGCUGACAUGACAGAAAAAAAUGGUACAUCACCACCACGGCAGGUAAAAGAAAUGUAUGCCAGAGGAAUUGUAACCUUUUUCCCUUACCUCAGUGACCCGUACUCAAAAAAUGGCUAUGAACAUUAUUAUGAUGGCGAGAGUGGC